AAAUUGUUGACCAGAGAUGGGGAAGCAUUGGAACAAGCGUGCCCUAGGUUCCAGGUGUGCUCUGAAGAUGUACCUACCUACUUUCAUCAGGAAAUUGUUAUAGAAAUAUGUUUCCUGCUUUGCCAUGGACAAGAAGCUUACAAUUAUGAAACAGAUAAACACAUUGUCUCCAGUGGUCACAGGUGUGGUUCUGUUGUGCCUAACUGCUGCUCAUUGCCAAACCAUUCUGCAGGCUCCAUCAGCUGCCUCAGUGUCCUGUUGUAAGGGAACUGGGGGAGGUAAGUGCCAUGCUUCACAUAUAAGGUACAAAUCAUGUUAUUUGUGUGAUCUCCUGGUUUAUAUAUUCCAUAUAUUUCCUUAUUUUAGAUUUACUACUUACUCUUGCUAUAAGCCAAGGGUGUUAGUGCAUACUUCCUCUCUUCCUAAACCCGAACACCCAAAGGCGCAGUGAGUUUUUACCAAGCAUUUCUUAAAGAACGACUCAGUAUGAGAAACCCUCUCACAAAACCCACACAAAUCCCUGUAAUCAGCCCUGCCAAUUCACUGCAGACUGCAAACAGCUAUAGACAGGAUUCCAAACAGUUAAUUUCAAAUAGCUCAUUUUCUCUCAUCUCUGCACAAAUUCCUGUCAUGUUGCAUUACAUGUAAACAACUCAGAAACUUAAUGACAUGCCUUUCAGUCAAAAACUGGUAUGGUUUUUCAGUCUGAGCAGAUUAAUUGCAGUUUGUAACAAUAUAGACUGAUGCAGUCUGAUUAGGGUUUCUAUUGCUCUUUGAGAUAAAAUAUUUUAUGUGAAUGUAAAGCCAAGAUUUCUGCUGGCACGACUUUAUUGACUUCUGCGGGAAAAUAAAAUACCCAUGUAAAAUCCA
rnacentral:lncRNA from 1 species